rnacentral:lncRNA from 1 species
AUGUUGGACAGCAGAAAUGAAAGACUUGGAAGGAACUGCAGAACUCAGGGCCUGGGAAAGUUUCAGGCAAAGAGAACAGGAAAAGAAAUCUGCAAAAUGUAUAUCCCCAAAUCUAGCCCUACUGGAUAUAUUGUUUCAACAACGUCCAUAAAGCUCAGAAUACCACUGGAAAAGGAAAAUACAGAAAUAUAUUUGGACUAUGUUAUGGGCACCUGAGGAUUCAUUCAGACUGACAAAGCACUGGAAAAGACUCCCCAAGAAAGGAGACAGCCCACCUUAGCCAAGAUAGUGAUUGCCUUCAUAUAAAGCAUGCUAUUUAUAAACUCUUUUCACCUAUAUUGCCUCAUUUAAUUUGAUUUUCAGCCUUCCUAGAGAAAUAAAGAAAAAUCACCUCUGUCAAAUUCAAACAAACAC